UACAGAGGGUGCGAGCGUUAAUCGGAAUCAUUGGGCGUAAAGGGUGCGUAGGUGGUUAAUUAAGUCAGAUGUGAAAUCCCUAGGCUCAACCUAGGAAUUGCGUUUGAAACUGAUUAGCUAGAGUAUAGUAGAGGGAAGUGGAAUUUCCGGUGUAGCGGUGAAAUGCGUAGAUAUCGGAAGGAACACCAGUGGCGAAGGCGACUUCCUGGACUGUUACUGACACUGAGGCACGAAAGCGUGGGGAGCGAACAGG
rnacentral:rRNA from 1 species